CCUACGGGUAGCAGCAGUGAGGAAUAUUGGUCAAUGGACGAGAGUCUGAACCAGCCAAGUAGCGUGAAGGAUGACUGCCCUAUGGGUUGUAAACUUCUUUUAUAAAGGAAUAAAACGAGGCACGUGUGCCUUUUUGCAUGUACUUUAUGAAUAAGGAUCGGCUAACUCCGUGCCAGCAGCCGCGGUAAUACGGAGGAUCCGAGCGUUAUCCGGAUUUAUUGGGUUUAAAGGGAGCGUAGAUGGGUUGUUAAGUCAGUUGUGAAAGUUUGCGUCUCAACCGUAAAAUGGCAAUUGAUACUGGCAGUCGUGAGUACAGGUGAAGGAGGCGGAUUUCGUGGUGUAGCGGUGAAAUGCUUAGAUAUCACGAAGAACCCCGAUUGCGAAGGCAGCUUACUAAACUGUGACUGACAUUGAUGCUCGAAAGUGUGGGUAUCAAACAGGAUUAGAUACCCCAGUAGUC
rnacentral:rRNA from 1 species